rnacentral:rRNA from 1 species
UACGUAGGGGGCGAGCGUUACCCGGAUUUACUGGGCGUAAAGGGGGCGUAGGCGGCCGUGAAAGUCCGGUGUGAAAACUCACGGCUCAACCGUGGGACUGCGCUGGAAACUACACGGCUUGAGGACGGUAGAGGGAGACGGAACUGCUGGUGUAGGGGUGAAAUCCGUAGAUAUCAGCAGGAACGCCGGUGGGGUAGCCGGUCUCCUGGGCCGCUCCUGACGCUGAGGCCCGAAAGCUAGGGGAGCAAACCGG